GUCCCUAUCGGCUAGUGGCCCAGGACGUCGCAAUUUCCGAUCCUAAGCGAUCUCAAAGCGGAAACCGGGGUUCGAAUCCCCGUGGGGAGG
rnacentral:tRNA from 1 species